GACGAACGCUGGCGGCGUGCUUAACACAUGCAAGUCGAACGGAAAGGCCCUGCUUGCAGGGUACUCGAGUGGCGAACGGGUGAGUAACACGUGGGUGAUCUGCCCUGCACUUCGGGAUAAGCCUGGGAAACUGGGUCUAAUACCGGAUAGGAGCCAUUUUUAGUGUGAUGGUUGGAAAGUUUUUUCGGUGUAGGAUGAGCUCGCGGCCUAUCAGCUUGUUGGUGGGGUAAUGGCCUACCAAGGCGGCGACGGGUAGCCGGCCUGAGAGGGUGGACGGCCACAUUGGGACUGAGAUACGGCCCAGACUCCUACGGGAGGCAGCAGUGGGGAAUAUUGCACAAUGGGCGCAAGCCUGAUGCAGCGACGCCGCGUGGGGGAUGACGGCCUUCGGGUUGUAAACUCCGUUCGCUAGGGACGAAGCUUUUUGUGACGGUACCUAGAUAAGAAGCACCGGCUAACUACGU
rnacentral:rRNA from 1 species